CCUCUCGGGGGUAAGCGGGCAGAACUUGCAAGUAUUGUCAAGAGAUUCAGACUUGGWAUUGGARGGGGAAUAURUGGRUUAAAUGGACCAUUCGUGGUUUGUUGAUCCGUGUGUUUCAUUCUUCUGAUAAUGCGUCGCACUUCUCUUGUACAUCCGGGUUGCAUGCAACUGAGAUGAUGGUUUAGGAGCUGGGGUACUGCGAAUCCUAGUGGUUCGAGUCUUGGUUUCCGACUAUUCUUGCGGUUGUUGAAAGCRAACAAGAGCUUGUCUCGGUCAACUUCUUCCACGAGUCGUGUGCAUGGAUUAUAUGGACGGGUAACCGUAAUAUGACCUGUGUACUGGUUGUCUGUGURAGUUGUUUGGCAUUGUUCAGUAUUGCAAUCUAAAGCAUGCGUGGUCUGCCUGU
rnacentral:rRNA from 1 species